GAUCCUGGCUCAGGAUGAACGCUGGCGGCGUGCUUAACACAUGCAAGUCGAACGAUGACUUUUGUGCUUGCACAGAAUGAUUAGUGGCGAACGGGUGAGUAACACGUGAGUAACCUGCCCCUGACUCUGGGAUAAGCCUGGGAAACUGGGUCUAAUACUGGAUAUGCACCGUAGACCGCAUGGUUUUUGGUGGAAAGAAUUUUGGUCAGGGAUGGACUCGCGGCCUAUCAGCUUGUUGGUGAGGUAAUGGCUCACCAAGGCGACGACGGGUAGCCGGCCUGAGAGGGUGACCGGCCACACUGGGACUGAGACACGGCCCAGACUCCUACGGGAGGCAGCAGUGGGGAAUAUUGCACAAUGGGCGAAAGCCUGAUGCAGCGACGCCGCGUGAGGGAUGACGGCCUUCGGGUUGUAAACCUCUUUCAGUAGGGAAGAAGCGAAAGUGACGGUACCUGCAGAAGAAGCGCCGGCUAACUACGUGCCAGCAGC
rnacentral:rRNA from 1 species